UCAUGGGCGAGAGCCUGAACCAGCCAAGUAGCGUGAAGGAUGACUGCCCUNUGGGUUGUAAACUUCUUUUAUAAAGGAAUAAAGUCGGGUAUGGAUACCCGUUUGCAUGUACUUUAUGAAUAAGGAUCGGCUAACUCCGUGCCAGCAGCCGCGGUAAUACGGAGGAUCCGAGCGUUAUCCGGAUUUAUUGGGUUUAAAGGGAGCGUAGAUGGAUGUUUAAGUCAGUUGUGAAAGUUUGCGGCUCAACCGUAAAAUUGCAGUUGAUACUGGAUAUCUUGAGUGCAGUUGAGGCAGGCGGAAUUCGUGGUGUAGCGGUGAAAUGCUUAGAUAUCACGAAGAACUCCGAUUGCGAAGGCAGCCUGCUAAGCUGCAACUGACAUUGAGGCUCGAAAGUGUGGGUAUCAAACAGGAUUAGAUACCCUGGUAGUCCAAGGGCGAAUUC
rnacentral:rRNA from 1 species